rnacentral:tRNA from 2 species
GCGUGGGUGGCGAAAUUGGUAGACGCACUACUUUGAGGUGGUAGCGCUCGAAAGGGCGUGUGAGUUCGAAUCUCAUCCCGCGCA